rnacentral:misc_RNA from 1 species
GAUGAAGAACGCAGCGAAAUGCGAUAAGCAAUGUGAAUUGCAGAAUUCAGUGAAUCAUCGAAUCUUUGAACGCACAUUGCGCCCCCCAGUAUUCUGGCGGGCAUGCCUGUUCGAGCGUCAUUUCAACCAUCAAGCCCUGCUUGUGUUGGGGUCCUGCGGCUGCCCGCAGGCCCUGAAAACCAGUGGCGGGCUCGCUAGUCACACCGAGCGCAGUAGCACAUCUCGCUCAGGGCGUGCGGCGGGCUCCAGCCGUUAAAGCACCCACCUUUCGCAAGGUUGACCUCGGAUCAGGUAGGAAUACCCGCUGAACUUAAGCAUAUCAAUAAGCGGAGGA